CCAGUAUGUGUGACACUCUUCCUCCUUUUUCCUCCUCCUCAUCCUGUUUAACAUGCUUGCCCAGUACACAUGUAUACAUGUGCACUACUCAUUCAGUUUCUUCACACAGAUUUUCAGGAUAUCAUGAAGCCACCUUUCAUUUCCCUUUGAACUGAACAAGGACUGCAGCGGACGCAGCCAACACCUUCCCUACUGACUUUGGGCUUUAGUUUCCUAAUCUCACCUUGCGGUGUCAACCCCAUUCACACCAGCGCUGAAAAAUCUAAUUGAAUAUUAUAUAUAAUAUAAUUGAAAUCAUGUCUUGCAUCAUGAAAUACUACUGAUAUAGUCCUCAUAACCUUAAUAUCAGUGGUGUUUGUGCUUUUACAUGCAAUAAAAAAAUGUCAGUUUGA